CAAUAGCGUAUAUUGAAGUUGUUGCGGUUAAAAAGCUCGUCGUUGGAUUUCUGUUGAGGUCGAACAGUGCCGCCCUAUGGGUGCGCAACUGGCUCGGCUUCGGCAUCUUCUUGGAGAGCGCAUCUGCACUUAACUGUGUGGAUCGUACUUCAAGUCAGUUACUUUGGGGAAUUGUGAGUGUUUCAAGCAGGCUUACGCCGUUGAAUCCGUUAGCAUGGAAUAAUAGGAUAGGACCUCGGUUCUAUUUUGUUGGUUUUGAGAGCUGGGGCAGCGAUUGAUAGGGACGGAUGGGGGCGUCCGAACUUUACUGUCAGAGGUGAAAUUCUUAGAUCGGUCAAAGGCGAACUACUGCGAACGCAUUCGCCAAGAAUGUUUUCUUUAA
rnacentral:rRNA from 1 species